rnacentral:lncRNA from 1 species
AGCAAUUCUCCUGCCUCAGCUUCCCGAGUAGCUGGGAUUACAGGGCCAUCUUGCUGGCUUGCCACAGGUUAUGUGAUAAUGACUGGGCAUCAUUCAUGGGAAACUGCACUGCGUAAGCAGGCCUGGCUAGGCCCACAGUAGGCCCCGGGCACAUUUUCAGCUGCGAAGCGGAGGACUAGCAACCGGUGAGGUAGAAGGAGAACCAAGAGAUGGUGGGAGAAUGGGAACUGAGCUGAGAGAGCUUCCGGAAGGUUGCGGUGGCCUAGGGCGAUCCACGUCAUUGAGAAACGGCGUUAGGCUGAUUUCACGGGGCAGAUGACAUGGAAGUGCUGCUGAGGAAGACGCUGAGCUCCGAGGUGAAAAGGGAUGAGGACGCCUAAGAAGACACGAGCGCAAUACCUAAUACAAUUUCCUGAAAUUGUUUCAUGUCACACGUUAAAAUAAUAUGAAACACGUUAAAUAAUAAAAUGGUAUGAAGGUUUUGUCUGAA